ACUCAAAGGAAUUGACGGGGGCCCGCACAAGAGGUGGAGUAUGUGGUUUAAUUCGAAGCAACGCGAAGAACCUUACCUGGGUUUGACAUCCCAUGAAAAGCGCAGAGAUGCGUAAUAGUCGCAAGACACAUGGAGACAGGUGCUGCAUGGCUGUCGUCAGCUCGUGUCGUGAGAUGUUGGGUUAAGUCCCGCAACGAGCGCAACCCUUUCCCUUAUUUGCCAGCAUUAAGUUGGGCACUCUAGGGGUACUGCCGAUGAUAAAUCGGAGGAAGGUGGGGACGAGGUCAAGUCAUCAUGGCCCUUAUGUCCAGGGCAACACACGUACUACAAUGGCCAAGACAAAGCGAUGCAAGACCGCAAGGUUUAGCCAAUCGCAAAAACAUGGUCUCAGUUCGGAUUGCGGUCUGCAACUCGACCGCAUGAAGUUGGAAUCUCUAGUAAUCGCAGAUCAGCAGGCUGCGGUGAAUACGUUCCCGGGCCUUGUACACACCGCCCGU
rnacentral:rRNA from 1 species